UACGUAGGGGGCAAGCGUUGUCCGGAUUUAUUGGGCGUAAAGAGCGUGUAGGCGGUUAUGCAGGUCCGUUGUGAAAACUCGAGGCUCAACCUCGAGACGCCGAUGGAAACCAUCUGACUAGAGUCCGGAAGAGGAGAGUGGAAUUCCUGGUGUAGCGGUGAAAUGCGCAGAUAUCAGGAGGAACACCGGUGGCGAAGGCGCCACUCUGGGCCGGUACUGACGCUGAGGAGCGAAAGCGUGGGUAGCAAACAGG
rnacentral:rRNA from 1 species